rnacentral:lncRNA from 1 species
AUGGGGAAGGAAGUGUUCUUAACCAGGAAAAUAGCUUUGUGGCCUACGAGGGGAGAGAGGCCCCAGGGAAAGGUCCCGGCCCCUCCCCAGUUCCAAGGGGCCCACUUGCUCUUCAUCUCGCUGGACCUUGGAUUCCUGGCUAUAGUCCCUGGCUUUGAUAUUUGCUUCUGCUGUCUGGAGUUUGGCAACUCAUCACAUUCUCCUUGCAGCUUUUUGGGCCUCAGGGGUUUUUCCAUUAGCCCUCUGCUCUGUCUACCUCUGAUUCACUGUCCUUCCCUGGCCUUGGGUGAGGAGCACUCACCCUCCGGCCUGGGCCCUGCGGGAGCCGCAUCUGGGCCAGAAUGGAUGUGGCAUUGAGAUGGCAUUAUGACGGGGUAUAGGGAGACUCCAGUCCUGCCCGUGGCCACACUUCCUGGUCCUGGAGGGAGGUGUUUAUCCAGAAGACUAAGCAAGGCACCACUCUCUUUAUCAGGUAAGACUUGGACCCCAAUGUCAAAUUCUAGAAGGGUUGGUUUGAAUGACCUAGAGCCAGAACAGGCUUCAUUCAUCCCAUAAACACUGAGCACCUAAGAUGUCUGGCAGUGUUCUAGCUCCUGGGGUUACAGCGGUGAAUAGAAUCAAAGUGCCAGACCUCUAGGAGCUUACAUGCUGGGCGGGGCGGGGUGUGUGUGUGGGGGGGAGGGCGGGAAUCACACUAAUCAAAAUAACAUGGGACCUCCUGUACUGUACUCCCCAGCAUUCCCGCCCCCACUGGCCAUCCCCAGUCUUGGAUCUGAUCUCUGUGAUGGAAGGAUCAGUGUCAGACUCAGGAACAAGGGAGGGCAGUUGUUUCAGUGCCUCCUUAGAUGCGCCCCUCCACCCCCCACCCCGGGGCCCUGCUCCUGUAGGAAAGCAAAAUACUUUGUUCCAUCAUAGAGAAAACACCUUACCUGAGAGGGGAGGAGAGAGAGUGUGUGCAUGUGCUCAUCCGGCUGAGAGCCCUGGGUAACAGGGACCAUUGGAAAGAGCCACAUCCAGGUGUGCUCACGUGUGCAGAGCAUGCCCUUCGCAGGCUUCAGGGUGUGGAUCCUGGAGGCAGAGUAUCACCAGGAGCUCAGGAAAAAAGCAGAUUCUCACCCCACCCCAGUUGUUCAGAAUCCAAGUCGGCAGAUGAUUCCUAUGCACAUUAAAGUUUGAGAAGCAACAGGCUGGACUUAGACCAGGAGAAGAGAAAAGCUCCAUGCCCAGACCCAUAAUAAUUCCUCUUGGAGACGGGCUAGGAGAUGGAGUGUAGGGUAGGUGUGGGGUGGGG